rnacentral:rRNA from 1 species
GAACUGAAGAGUUUGAUCAUGGCUCAGAUUGAACGCUGGCGGCAGGCCUAACACAUGCAAGUCGAGCGGAUGAAGAGAGCUUGCUCUCUGAUUCAGCGGCGGACGGGUGAGUAAUGCCUAGGAAUCUGCCUGGUAGUGGGGGACAACGUUUCGAAAGGAACGCUAAUACCGCAUACGUCCUACGGGAGAAAGCAGGGGACCUUCGGGCCUUGCGCUAUCAGAUGAGCCUAGGUCGGAUUAGCUAGUUGGUGGGGUAAUGGCCCACCAAGGCGACGAUCCGUAACUGGUCUGAGAGGAUGAUCAG